rnacentral:rRNA from 1 species
AACGAACGCUGGCGGCAGGCUUAACACAUGCAAGUCGAACGCACCGCAAGGUGAGUGGCAGACGGGUGAAUAACGCGUGGGAACCUACCCCUUGGUACGGGAUAGCUCCGGGAAACUGGAGAUAAUACCGUAUGUGUCCUGAGGGACAAAGAUUUAUCGCCAAGGGAUGGGCCCGCGUCGGAUUAGCUAGUUGGUGGGGUAACGGCCUACCAAGGCGACGAUCCGUAGCUGGUCGAAGAGGAUGAUCAGCCACACUGGGACUGAGACACGGCCCAGACUCCUACGGGAGGCAGCAGUGGGGAAUAUUAGACAAUGGGCGCAAGCCUGAUCCAGCCAUGCCGCGUGAGUGAUGAAGGCCCUAGGGUUGUAAAGCUCUUUCACCGGGGACGAUAAUGACGGUACCCGGAGAAGAAGCCCCGGCUAACUUCGUGCCAGCCGCCGCAGUAACAC